rnacentral:rRNA from 1 species
UGUCGUCAGCUCGUGUUGUGAAAUGUUGGGUUAAGUCCCGCAACGAGCGCAACCCUUAUCCUUUGUUGCCAGCGGUCCGGCCGGGAACUCAAAGGAGACUGCCAGUGAUAAACUGGAGGAAGGUGGGGAUGACGUCAAGUCAUCAUGGCCCUUACGACCAGGGCUACACACGUGCUACAAUGGCGCAUACAAAGAGAAGCGACCUCGCGAGAGCAAGCGGACCUCAUAAAGUGCGUCGUAGUCCGGAUUGGAGUCUGCAACUCGACUCCAUGAAGUCGGAAUCGCUAGUAAUCGUGGAUCAGAAUGCCACGGUGAAUACGUUCCCGGGCCUUGUACACACCGCCCGUCACACCAUGGGAGUGGGUUGCAAAAGAAGUAGGUAGCUUAACCUUCGGGAG